UCAUUGUUGGGAAUUGGGCUGCCGACUAAACUCAGAGAGAUGGGAAGACCUGCUGAGCAGUUACUGCUGCAAGAAAUCCAAGCCUAUCCUCUGUGAGGGCCAGGAGUUUCCAUGGUAACAGAAACUAGUAAACCAUGGUUUUCAAAGCAAAAGGACUUCAGUGAGCCCUGGUAACCUGGAUGGAGCCAUGGAGCACUCCUGUUUGACUUUUGUCCUGUUCAAAUGGGUACAAAGACUGUGUGAAUGGCUGAUCUUUGACAAAAUAAAGACGUCCCCAGUAUUCUUCACGGGUUUCCUUUGCUCCUGAAUUUUCGAAACAACUUCUCCAGCAGGCAAUUAAGUUGCUAAACAAAUAAGAAAAGUUAUAAACAAAUAGAUGUUAGCCUUUCAAGAGUUGCUACUGGAGCAAAGGACAUCCCAUCGGGAAUGAAAACACAGAACACAGCCGGGGCAGGAAAGCUGCAGCUGGCCCCAGAGAGGGGGUAGCAACAUUCAGGCUGGGACAGUUAACUCUGAGAAAAUAAAUGCAGAUAAACAGAAGGAGCAAAAGGAAAACAAGAAAGGCCCCCGGAAUUCUUCACAUUGCUUUAUUCUAUUAUUAUCAUG
ensembl:lincRNA Gm43617 predicted gene 43617